UUGUAUAUUUUUUUAUAUUUUUACCCUUCUGAUUCCUAAAAUCAGAAGUGGGAUAGGAUUUCGCUCACAAUUAGCCUUGUCUGCAGUAAACAACCGCUAGUUUAAUAAAAUGCGUCGUUCGUCACGUGCACAGUCAGCUGAGACACCACCUCGCGUAGUUAGGAAUAGUCGUUGCUGUGAACGUUCGCGGCGCGGUAGAUAUCGUGAUGACGAAUCGCGAUCAAAUAGCAACGGGUCGUGUCAUGAUAGGAUGCGGUCACGUACGCGUUCCCGUGCGGCUAGGAGCCGUUCACGUUCUCGUCACGGUAGGAACCGUUCGCGUUCUUGUGACACUCGAAGCCGUUCGCGUUCUCGAGACGCUAGGAACCAUUCGCAAUCACGUUUCAAUAUCUCGCACUCACGUCGCAAAAUUACUCGCUCACGACAAAAUCGCCUGCGUACUUAUUCACGCGGAAGGUCUAGGUCACGAUCGAUUACCUCGCAUCGUCUUCAGAAUGAUCACCUACCUUUUUAUCGAGAUACCUCCGUAAAGGAUGCGUUAGGCGCAAUAAUGUCUCGUUUGACCGCGAUAGAGGAGGGUACGUCUAGUGGUUCUCAUAAUCCAAUAACAACUUGCGACAACACACCUCUGUCAGAUGCUAACAACGCCAACGCUAAAACGCUAGUUGAUGCAUUAACUAUGUUGACAAGAGACAAGCCCAGUAAUUAUUACGUUUCGAACUUCGACCCCGCUAUACAAAAUUUUGAGGUGUGGUGUAACGAAGUUGAGAGGGCUAAAUUAGCGAACCGCUGGGAAGAUCUCGAAUGUUUUUCGCGAGUAGCUCAUUGCUUGAAAGGUGAUGCAAAGAUUUGGUUAAGUGAGUGGACUACCAAUGACCGAUCGUGGUCUAACUUUGUUAGGGAGUUUAGAUCUUUAUGUCCUCAAAGAGUAGACUACGCACAUAUUCUUCAUAGCGUUAUAAACACAACAUCUGACAAGUUUUUAACAUACGCUGAAUACGCACGUCGGUCUUUACUGCGUUUACGCAUCGUUAAAGGACUAAGUGAAGAACUUAUGGUCCAAAUAGUUAUCCACGGCAUAAGUGACGUGCAGGUACGAGCAGCAGCCACAAACGCUAACUUAACUACGGAUAAUCUUAUCUCGUUUUUGGCAACUUAUGUGAAGCCUACCCGCAAAUUCGAAAGUCGAAACUUUAAUAAACCCGUAUUGUCCAAUUGUGUUCCGGCUGAAAAGCGUAAUUUUAACGGCUCAGAUAAAAGAGAUUGCGAAGGCAAAUGCUUUAUUUGCAAUCAAGAAGGUCAUUUCAAAGACAGGUGUCCAAAAAAUCGAUAUGUUGUCGACAGGCCGGAGGUUACUAAUACUAAGCUUGUUUGUUCUUACUGCAAAAAGUUAGGGCACAAAGAUAGUGAAUGCUUUUCCAAAGCUCGAUCUGAGGCUCAGGGCGGCACUAGCAACCCGCGUAAAAAUUAACUUUUGUACAGAGCUCUUGAAUAAUGAACAACGUUAUUGAUUUAGGGUAUACCGGUUGAUAUUAUUUUCGAUAGUAGCGCUCUCAACGUCUCUUCAAUAUCUUCGGCGAUAAUCGGUCAAUUUUAGGGCCCACGAAAGCAUACUAAUUGUUACUUGAAAGGAAUACGCGAUAAAGAAUUUGUUGCUCAUGAAUAUGUCACUCUGACAGUAGAAUUGCGUAACAUCACGCUUGAAGUCUACUUUGUCAUCGUACCCGCACAGUACAUGAAUAUUCCUACCAUAAUAGGGACGGACGUACACCUACCGAAGUAGAAUACUUAGGGCGCGUUAUAAGUCAUGGUCAGGUAAGGCCGAGCCCGAACAAAAUUGAAGCCUUAGUCAAGGGUCCUACUCCACCUAACGUUAAACAAGUUCGCCAGUUUCUGGAUCUUGCAGGAUUCUUUUGGCGCUAUAUUAAAGUGUAUGCGACGAAAACCGCAUGUAUCUCGCGACUCACUAAAAAGGAUGUAAAAUUUGAAUAGGGACCUGAACAAGAUAAAGUCCCCCAAGAUUUAAUAUGACAACUAAUAAGUGAGCCUAUACUUGCGAUUUUCGAUCCUACCCUCCCCACCGAGCUCCUUACCAGCCUAUUACUUCAUGGCAAAAAUCUGAUACCCCAUUUAACACAAUCCAUGUCGACGUAUUAGUCCCCUUACCAGAGUCGAAUGGGUAUAAGUUCGUACUCGUAGUAGAUUCCUUUACCAAAUUUUGCCUACUUUACCCGAUGUACCUACAGGACACGAACGAACUGAAACGAGUUUUUGGUAGUGCAGUGUCUUUAUUUGGAACACCUAAACUGGUAAUUUGUGACCGUGGGCGCAUGUUUGAGGCGUCUGCUUUCACUAACUGGGUUUCCGAAAUGGGUUGUGCUAUCCACUACAUAACGCCCGAAAUGCACCACUCCAAUGGGCAAGCCGAGCGUUAUGUGGGGACAGUAUUGAACCUUAUCCGUGUAGAGAGUAACAAUAAAAAGUCUACUUGGUCUGAUGCUUUGUGUAAAAUAGAAAUAAUGUUAAAUAUAACGAAACAAAAGACUACGCAAUAUUCCGCUCUUUAUUUACUAAUCGGUACUAAUGCGACCACUCCUAUUAUUCAUGCGCUCGUCCGAGAUGUUGCCAUGGAGAACUCCAGCCCCAAUCAUGAAGCCACAAGAGAAAUUAGCAGGAGCAACGCUAAAGCGGCGCUGGACAAAAACAGAAUUGGUCAAGACACACGGGUCAAUCGUCAAAGGCACACCCCAGAGAAAUUCCAGGUCAACGACCAGGUAUUUGUGAUAAAAUACUCUCAAUCCGGAGGUAAGCUCGAUUCUGGUAUGAGAGGUCCAUAUCGUGUCACUAGAAUACUACCAAAUGACCGUUAUGAGAUGAAGCUGCUUAGUGGAUCUAAAGGCAAGACCAUUCAGGCGGCAGCACAGUAUAUGGUACUGUGGAAUGGCGAAUGGUGUCCAGAGAGUUGCUCUGCAUUUUUGACGAUAACCCUGACGAUGACAAUGUUGUUGAAACUUCAGAUAGACCAGCAGACCCCGCUAGUGCAGACACAUCUCCACAAACGGGCAACGAGCAAGAACUCGCUGCAGUCACCAACACCACCUAAGAGCAUAACUUCAGUGUGUCCGAGGACGGCACACGGUCAGGAGAGGCCGUAUUAGAUAAUCUUACAGCAGGUGGCGUCGAUCCCCACCAUCACUGACAAAAAUGUCUUUCCCCCACCAACGUCUAUAUAAGCGAAUGCAGAGCCGACCAAGCGCUCUUUCGGCUGCUAGGAUCGCGGUUGAUACGGUGGUUGGUCUCGACGGUACUUGCUGUAGGUCAUUUAGGUCAUUUUCGCGGAGUGUAAAUUAGCGUUUGUUUACUUUAUAAUUGUUUAAGUUAUUUUAAGAUCUUUG